rnacentral:rRNA from 1 species
CACCAGCGCCACAAGUGGGAACCACAUUUAUUGGGUCUAAAGCGUCCGUAGCUGGCUAGAUAAGUUUUAUGUGAAAUUGUUGGGCUUAACUCAACAACGUGCAUAAAAAACUGUUUAACUAGAGACCGGGAGGAGAUAGAAGUACGUUAGGUGGAGUGGUAAAAUACGAUAAUCCCUAACGGACUGCCAAUGGCGAAGGCAUCUAUCUAGAACGGGUCUGACAGUGAGGGACGAAAGCUAGGGGAGCAAUCCGGAUUAGAUACCCCCGUA